rfam:Bacteroides coprocola DSM 17136 Scfld_02_85 genomic scaffold, whole genome shotgun sequence.
GGAGUAAAGCUUGCCGUGAGAAGUCAGCAGAAGUCAUAGUAGCAAACGAGCCGAUAGGUUUGCGAAGGAC